rnacentral:rRNA from 1 species
AUACGGAGGGUCCAAGCGUUAUCCGGAAUCAUUGGGUUUAAAGGGUUCGUAGGCGGGUCAAUAAGUCAGAGGUGAAAUCUUGCAGCUUAACUGGAAAAUUGCCUUUGAAACUGUUGACCUUGAAUUACUGUGAAGUGGUUAGAAUAUGUAGUGUAGCGGUGAAAUGCUUAGAGAUUACAUAGAAUACCGAUUGCGAAGGCAGAUCACUAACAGUAUAUUGACGCUGAUGAACGAAAGCGUGGGUAGCGAACGGGAUUAGAUACCCGGGUAGUCC